rnacentral:rRNA from 1 species
CAGCAGCCGCGGUAACACCAGCAGCCCAAGUGGUGGUCGCGAUUAUUGGGCCUAAAGCGCUCGUAGCCGGGCCGGUAAGUCCCUUGUGAAAUCGGACGGCCUAACCGUUCGGCGUGCAAGGGAUACUGUCGGUCUUGAGGCCGGGAGACGUCCGAGGUACUCCGGGGGUAGCGGUGAAAUGUUCUGAUCCUCGGGGGACCACCGGUGGCGAAGGCGUUCGACGAGAACGGGCCUGACGGUGAGGGGCGAAGGCUAGGGGAGCAAACGGGAUUAGAUACCCCCGUAGUCCCUGUCUCUUAUA